rnacentral:rRNA from 1 species
GAUGAACGCUAGCUCCAGGCUUAACACAUGCAAGUCGAGGGGAAACGAUGAGAGAGCUUGCUCUCUUAGUCGUCGACCGGCGCACGGGUGAGUAACGCGUAUCCAACCUGCCUCUGACCAAGGGAUAACCCGUCGAAAGUCGGACUAAUACCUUAUGCAGUCGUCGGAAGUCAUCUGAUGACGACGCAAGAUUUCAUCGGUGAGAGAUGGGGAUGCGUCUGAUUAGCUUGUUGGCGGGGUAACGGCCCACCAAGGCGACGAUCAGUAGGGGUUCUGUGAGGAAGAUCCCCCACAUUGGACCUGAGACACGGCCCAAACUCCUACUGUAGGUAGCUGUGAGGAAUAUUGGUCAAUGGUCGUAAGCCUGAACCAGCCAAGCAGCGUGCAGGAUGUCGGCCCUAUGGGUUGUAAACUGCUUUUAUGCGGGGAUAAAGUGAGGGACGUGUCCUUCAUUGCAGGUACCGCAUGAAUAAGAACCGGCUAAUUCCGUG